CUACGGGAGGCAGCAGUGGGGAAUAUUGGACAAUGGGCGCAAGCCUGAUCCAGCAAUGCCGCGUGGAUGAAGAAGGUCUUCGGAUUGUAAAGUCCUUUCGGCGGGGACGAUGAUGACGGUACCCGCAGAAGAAGCCCCGGCUAACUUCGUGCCAGCAGCCGCGGUAAUACGAAGGGGGCUAGCGUUGCUCGGAAUUACUGGGCGUAAAGGGCGCGUAGGCGGAGAUCUCAGUCAGGCGUGAAAGCCCCGGGCUCAACCUGGGAACUGCGCUUGAGACGGGGUUUCUUGAGGGCGAGAGAGGGUGGUGGAAUUCCCAGUGUAGAGGUGAAAUUCGUAGAUAUUGGGAAGAACACCGGUGGCGAAGGCGGCCACCUGGCUCGCAUCUGACGCUGAGGCGCGAAAGCGUGGGGAGCAAACAGGAUUAGAUACCCUUGUAGUCC
rnacentral:rRNA from 1 species